rnacentral:rRNA from 1 species
GGCGAACCGGGGGAACUGAAACAUCUAAGUACCCCGAGGAAAAGAAAUCAACCGAGAUUCCGAAAGUAGCGGCGAGCGAAAUUGGACUAGCCCUUAAGCUUUACACGCGUUAGACGAACGGUCUGGAAAGUCCGACGAUACAGGGUGAUAGUCCCGUAGUUGACGACGUGUGUUCAGUGAAAUCGAGUAGGGCGGGACACGUGAUAUCCUGUCUGAAUAUGGGGGGACCAUCCUCCAAGGCUAAAUACUACUGACUGACCGAUAGUGAACCAGUACCGUGAGGGAAAGGCGAAAAGAACCCCUGUGAGGGGAGUGAAAUAGAACCUGAAACCGUGUACGUACAAGCAGUAGGAGCAGGCUUUGUCCUGUGACUGCGUACCUUUUGUAUAAUGGGUCAGCGACUUAUAUUCAGUGGCAAGGUUAACCAUCUAGGGGAGCCGUAGGGAAACCGAGUCUUAACUGGGCGUUCAGUCUCUGGAUAUAGACCCGAAACCAGGUGAUCUAGCCAUGGGCAGGUUGAAGGUUGAGUAACAUCAACUGGAGGACCGAACCGACUAAUGUUGAAAAAUUAGCGGAUGACUUGUGGCUAGGGGUGAAAGGCCAAUCAAACCUGGAGAUAGCUGGUUCUCCCCGAAAGCUAUUUAGGUAGCGCCUCGGACGAAUACUACUGGGGGUAGAGCACUGUUAAGGCUAGGGGGUCAUCCCGACUUACCAACCCUUUGCAAACUCCGAAUACCAGUAAGUACUAUCCGGGAGACACACGGCGGGUGCUAACGUCCGUCGUGGAGAGGGAAACAACCCAGACCGCCAGCUAAGGUCCCAAAUUACUACUAAGUGGGAAACGAUGUGGGAAGGCUCAGACAGCCAGGAUGUUGGCUUAGAAGCAGCCAUCAUUUAAAGAAAGCGUAAUAGCUCACUGGUCGAGUCGGCCUGCGCGGAAGAUGUAACGGGGCUAAGUAGUAAACCGAAGCUGCGGCAAUGUGCUUUUGCACAUUGGGUAGGGGAGCGUUCUGUAAGCGGUUGAAGGUGUGUGGUAACGCAUGCUGGACGUAUCAGAAGUGCGAAUGCUGACAUGAG